UUGAUUAUUUUUGUUUUGAUUGUAUGAUUAUUGUUUGCUGUGUAAAUUUCACAAAUAUUAUCAAUUCUUAAUGAUCCUUCCGCAGGUUCACCUACGGAAA
rnacentral:misc_RNA from 1 species